UUGUUCGGAAUUAUUGGGCGUAAAGGGUGCGUAGGCGGUUUGGUAAGUCUUAUGUGAAAUCUACAGGCUCAACUUGUAGUCUGCAUGAGAAACUGCCGGGCUUGAGUAUGGGAGAGGUGAGUGGAAUUCCUGGUGUAGCGGUGAAAUGCGUAGAUAUCAGGAGGAACACCUGUGGCGAAAGCGGCGCACUGGACCACAACUGACGCUGAGGCGCGAAAGCUAGGGGAGCAAACAGG
rnacentral:rRNA from 1 species